ACGGAGGGUGCAAGCGUUAUCCGGAUUCACUGGGUUUAAAGGGUGUGUAGGCGGGUAUUUAAGUCAGUGGUGAAAUCUCCGGGCUCAACCCGGAAACUGCCAUUGAUACUAUUUAUCUUGAAUUCUGUUGAGGUAGGCGGAAUACAUCAUGUAGCGGUGAAAUGCUUAGAUAUGAUGUAGAACACCGAUUGCGAAGGCAGCUUACUAAGCAGACAUUGACGCUGAGGCACGAAAGCGUGGGGAUCAAACAGGA
rnacentral:rRNA from 1 species